UCUCCCUUUUGAGCAGGGGAUUGCACUAGAAGACCUCCAAGGUCCCUCCCAAUUCUAUUAUUCUGUUAAAUCCAUGUAUAGAACCUCUAAUUUCCAACAUAGAAGCUCAACCUCCAGAGGUAUAGGUGAUUUAUAAGUAAUUAAGAUUACUUGAGUGGAAUCUUUUUUUUAGUACUGUCCUAGCUUCAGCAUCUGUAGUUUUUUUUUUAUCUCUACCCCACUUCCAACUGAGGCUAUAAGUGGGAAGCAGCGUAUGGGAAAUAGCCACAGUUGAGGAAAGUCAGCAGAGGAGAAGGUUUUGCUUGUAACUCUCCCCCCAUCUGCAAAUGCCUUUUCCUUCAUUUGGUGAAGUUGGACUUUGUUUUUCCCCUCUCUAUAGAAGUUGCAAAGCAGAGAUGAGACCCUUUGCCAAGUCUCUCAUCACAUUAUUAUUAUUUUUUUUUUAAAAAAAGUGGGAAAAUUCAGAAAAUCGUAGAAGCAAUAUGCAAUGCUUGAAUAUGUGUGUGCAUGUAAAUAUGUAGAACUUUUAUAUAUGUCUAUGGCUGAAAGUCCUCCUUCUGGGGCUUCUUUCUGCAAAUUUUCAGUUUCUUUCCUGAAUGACUUUAAGAAAGCAAAUGAUAUUCCUACACAUAUUUACUGCCUAUCGGCCCUCAAAUCCAUCUGAAAACAAGUGGAAAAUAGAAGUUCUUUCCUCAGAGGGAAGUCAAAGUAAAGAAAUCUGAUUCAUUAAUCCAAUUAUUCUUCAGGGAAUUUUAUAUUGCAUCUUGAGAGCUAUGCUUUUUCAAAAAAAAAAAAAUCAAUUCCUGUAAAUUACAGUUGGGAGACAUCUUUGCAUAAAGGUAGGCAGCAGACAUUAAAUGAAGCGGGGAGGGGGAGGGAGCAUUUGUAUUCCUUUGGUGGGUAAAGAACUGGUUUUCAGGAUAGCAUGCUUCUCUUGGGUACCAAUUAAUCAUAAUUUUAUAAAAAGGUAGUAAAGAUAUCCCACUAAUCACCGCCAUGUAAUCCUUGGUUUCUUGGCCAGUUUCAAAAGCAAUGGAUAAGAAAAAGGGAUUAGAUAAAAGGACUGAGUCGGGAGGGAUACUAAUGAGUUUCUCCUGAAUCCUCUCUCUUUCUCUCUCCCAAAGGAUGUGCCAAAACACCACAGAAAGUGAAGCUGUAAUGAAAGAGGAGCUAAAAUCUGCUAGGAAUGAAUGGGGUGCUGAAAUUGUUCAUUGUAUUCCCAGGCUUCAGUAAGCAAGUUUAACCCUUCUUCAAUGGACGGGUUUGAUUUGUGUACAUACAGUGGUGUGCUGACGUUUCCUGUGCCUUUGGGGAAUAGAUCAAUUGGUGCGGCCUCUGCCAAAUCACGCAGCUGUGGCCGCUUCUCUUUUUUUCCUGUUCAGACUUGAUGAAGGAAUUUAACUCCUUUUAUGCUUAGCCUUCUAGAAUCUAGUUAGAAAUCUGGAGGUUUUCUCGCUCCCUGCUCUUGCCUGUAAGCCUUUACCCUCAAGGGAGGAAAAGCAUCUUUUGAAAUGAAAAUGAAGGAGGCUUUAUGUUACACAGUUCAAUCUUUGUAGUGUUAAGGUAUGAAGGAAACUGACUGUCAGCUAUUGAUUCCUCAGUGCCUGAAUUAAAAAGAUUUCCAAGCAAACACCCAGGAAAGAAAGAACUGUGAUCAGAAUUUUCCCCCAUGCUGAAAUGUCACAUCAGGACAAUGAAGGAUCAGUUUGACAGUUUCCAAAGGUGUUCAAGUGAAUCGAUGCAAGAAUAUGGUAUCCGUGUGAUUUUUUUUUAAAAAAAAAAAAUUGAGGUUUUUAGAAAAUACGAGUGCCCCGGAUGAGCCCCUCUACUUGAUUCACUCCCAAAUAUUCACAGAUAUUUUUUAAAAAAAUCAAACACAAAGACAAUAUUGCAUUUAUGUCUCUACAGUAAGCUGCUGUAAAUCUUUUCACUAUUGAUCCUACAUUUUAUUUACACAGCUUUGCAACCUACUCCUAUAUAUGUUUAUCUAGCAGUCCCAGUUGCUGAUCUGAUACUGACAUAUGUGGUAAAUGCAAGAUACAUUAUUAGUAGUUAGUAUUCAUGUGCUACUGUUAAGAGAGGAAUUCUUUGUUCCAUGCUUGAUUAAUAUGAUCUGCUUAAAUAUCAAGCAAACAACUUUCUCUUUACCUAUCCCCUCCACUGGAUUUUUAGCUGCUUUGCCAAGUAAAAAGUUCUGAGAAACUUAAAAACAUUUCAAUUGGCCUAAUAAACUUGUUGCCUUUUUAUAAAUUUUGGGUUUGUAUUAUUACCAGCACAGUUUGCUUUCUCUAUGUAUUUUAGUGCUCUAGGAGAAGGUAUUAGAAGCAAGGCAAAUUCUUUCAUUUUCUAUUAAAAUUUGUUGUGGCAUGAAACAUUUCAAGAAAAAAAGUUGGUUAUGUAAACCCAAUAUAUUUAUAUGCUUCUAGAAAACAAAGUUGACAUUAACAUGUUCACCAAAGAUAUUUUAAUUGAAAUUUCACAAUUUUAAGGGAAGAAGUAUUUUACAAUUAGGAACCAUUUUUUUCCUUUCCUUUUCUCUUUUAGAAUAGUCCCAACUGAUAUUUUUGGAGAAGAGAAAGGAGAAAGAAAAAAAGAAGAAGGAAAAUAUGUAAAGUUGAGUAAAAUUUAAGAGUGGAAAACAAGUUAAAUCUUGGACUUGCUCCUAGCACAGGAAGAUGUGAUCACCUCUUCUGCCUGAAAUACGAUGUGGUGAAGGCAGCUCUGAUGCAAACUUCCUCUGUGUGCUUUGCCAAGGAUUUCAACCCUGACCCACAGAGACAUUCACUACAGGAGUUUCUCAUAGAUAACUGCUCCAGAAACAAAGUCAAAUCUGCUUCUAUAUGGAUGAAUAAGAACGUUAUUUCUAUGGUGCUUUUUUCUCAAAUACAUCUCCUGCCCUCCCCAGGACCACACUGAAAC